rnacentral:sRNA from 1 species
GGUCCAGGGCCGGAAUGGCAGCAAGCUCAGUUCAGCAAGAUGCUUCCAGUUACUUCUUGCUCUUAAAAAAAAAAAAAGAACAGAAUAAAUCUGUCGUGACUCUACAUCCUUCUUGACGCCUAACAAAGAGAAAUUGAGAUGACGGUUAAUAAAGAAGGCCAUCAUCUACUCAGCCUUUACCUAAGUGGAAUCCUGUCUUUUGCGCAUUUAACUUACAAGAAUUUACCUGCAUCAGUUAUGUGAAGAAGAAAAGGGAAUAUAUUUCAGCCUACACAAGGCCCUUGUGCUUUUUAGGAGGAGUUCUUUGGAGCUGAAGUGGAUCUGAGAAGAGAGAUUCUCAUGAUAGUGGAGACAGUAUUAUAGAAGUAUUAUAGACAGUAUUAUAGAAGUAUUAUAGAAGCUGGAAGUGAUCAUUUUUCUCUGUUAUUUAUUUCACUGAUUACCUCAUACACAUAUCGAUAUAAAACUGAUCAACAAAGUUAGACUUUCUACAUU